CGCGCUUUGUUUUUGGAGGAACGGUUGUAACAACUUUGCCGUUUUGAUCCUGCCUAUGAAUGGACAUGCUGGUGGAAUUCUAUCUCCUCAUUGGUUUUGGUAUUCCCCAGGAAGAGCUGGAAUCUGUAACAAGAGACUGGGAAGUCUGUGCUGACCUGCUUGGCUUGCUGCUCCAAUUCUAUGAGGAAAAGAGAUUUCAGAAAAUGAGAUGAGAGAUCAGUGACAUUUGCUGAAGCAGCAGGAGGAUGGAGGUGAUAUAUAAAACGGCCUGCACACACACUCCUACCAUGAUAUUUGACUAACUUCUAUUGGGGAUCCAUUCUGAAAUCAAGAUUGUCUGUCAAACGAGUAAAAGAAGAAAAUAUACAAAAUACAAAGUGACCCCCUCAAGAUCUUGACGUUUGAUGCACGGACAUGUUGCCACCAAUCUGUAUAAACUACAUCAGAGCCAGAGCAUCAUCUAUGCCUGUAUAUUGUAUGAAACAAAGGGGUUUGAAGAGAACAUGCUUUAUACAGUUAUGUGAAAAAGUAAGUACACCCCAUGGAAAUUGUUGACUUUUUCAAGAUAUUUGAACAGGCAAACAAGAGAUCUUCAUGCAACUAUUUCUUCUAAAAAUAAUCCUUCAUAACCUUCAUUUUCUUUUGCUUGACAUAUUUUUGAGAACUCAGAGUUUAUCCCGAAAGUAGUGGACAAAAGGCAAGAUGCAGUUCCUAUCAGACACCUUCAUCCAGUCAUUUUUAUCAAGUAAUUUAAUAUUUAGGCCUUUGGAAUUCGAGAAGCAGCUGAAGCACUUUGAAAAAGUUUCAGUGAAACAUAAUAAAGAUAAUGGAAUAAUAAAGAUUCUGGAAGCUGAACCAAGAACCACCAGUAUACGAACAUGCCUCUCAAAUUACUUAUUCCAGUACAGGAUUAUUGUGAGUUGGAGCCUAUCUCAGCAGCACUGAGGACAAAGGAGGAAGCAACUCCGGGUAAGACACAACAUUAGUGCACCCAUAUGUGUGACGGUUGUUCUCUGAUUGCUUCCAGGAGCUCCUUGAAUACGAAACCAUCAAUAGACAUAAACCAAGAUGAGCCGGGCAAAUGAAGACACUCACAGUAAGCAAGGGUUGGUGCAAAUGUGUUCAGUGCUUUUAUUAAAACCAACCCAAAGUGUUCAAAAGUGCAGUACA